AGUGUAGAAGACUGACCUGCUUGCACUUGAUCAGCAGGCUCCCUUGACUGCAGGCUUCUCACGUGUGGAGACAGGCUUAAGGAGAACAAGUACCUUGCCCAGUUCCAUGUAGACAGCUACUGAUGGAGCUGGUAUUCAAACCCAAGCCAUCACAAUCCAGAGUCUACAUGCUACUCAAUUUCCUCCUUAGUUGAUGAGAAGGUAACUAAGAAAAAAUGACAAAGGAAAGUUACAGUCCAGUGGAAGAAUGGGGAUAAAUAUAAAUCACUGUGAUACAGAGCAUGGUCUACAUGGCAAAAGCAAUGUCUAAAGAGUGAUUAAUUUUGACAGGAGUGGGGGUUGAGAAAAGCUUCGCAGAAGGAAGUAACAUUGAAUUUGGCCUCAGAGGAUCAAUUAAGCAGAGAGAAGGGAAAGAACCCUGAAGACUGGGAUUGGUAAUUUCAAUAGAGAUGCAGAGUCAGGAAAAAAGUAAGGCAUAUUUAGGGGGCAAAAUUGUGUAUUAUGAGUAAAACACAUGGAGACUCAGAGCAUGAGGGUAUUGAAGAAGUUGAAGGGCCUUGAGGAAUGAGGGGAGGAAUGUAAACUAUAAUCAAUACUUGAAGCAGGGAAAUAGCACAGUUACUGACCUAUCAGUUUGGGGUCUGGCAAAGACCGUUUUAGUGGCAGUGUUUAGGAACAGUUAGAAUUCAGACUGACCUGAAGUAGACAAACCAGUGAGAAGUUGGUUGCAGUGAUUUGUUGAAGAGAAAAACAGGAUAACGGUGGGCUGCAGCUGAGGAAGUUGCACUGAGAACAGAAGAGGGUAGAUGUUUAAGAGACUUUAAAAGUGUUAUCAAUAGGAUUUGGUGACAAAUGUCAAAAAAGCGAGAGGGAGGAGGAGCCAAAGACAAUCCCCAAGAGUUCUUGCUCCAUCA